ACUGCAUAAUCCCCCCCGCGUCAGUUCAAUCCCUAAGUCAAUUGUUUCUCCCGUCAAUAGUUUGGCAAUCACUUGAAUGAUUUUUGGUUUCUAAAAUCACCAAUUCGCGUAGUCUGAAUACAUCGAUCGAUGGAGAACAACAGAAGAAAUAGAGAUAAGAAGAUCAGAGAAGAGAAGAAGCUUCGAUUCGAGUCAUCCUGAGGUCUGGUUUUUUCUCAAACUCAUUUCCCGACAAGCUCGACGACACUUACCGGUAACUGUAAGCAAAAGCAAAACCCUUUAAAAAACGCAUGAACAUUUUUUCCUCUGUGUUUAUGGUGUGAUAUUUCUUGGAACACUAGCAACUGCCUGCCAAAUAAAAAGAUCAUCCUGCAUUGUCUUAGAAAUUUUACUGCCAAGGGGAUGCCUUCUAAACUGGUUCUUUUGCUCCAGAAGCCGUUGCUCUUGAACCAUGCUUUUCCUGUCAAAUAUGACCUUGUAACCUGGUUUGUUUGCUCCUGAACCACGCUUUUCCUGUCACAUAGCCAAGGGGAUGGAAUUGUCUCUGCUCGUGAAGCCUUGUUAAGUAGUUCUUUUGUCGCAUUUGCUCCAGAAGCCGUGGAAACCUUGGGAACUGAUUUUUUUCCUCCUGAAUUUGCUCCUGAACCACGCUUUUCCUGCUACAUAAGAUAAAAUUUUCCGGCGGGGUUGGAAUUGUCUUUUCCAGCGGGGAUGGAAUUGUCUCUGCUCGUGAAGCCUUGUAAAGUGCCUAGAAUAUCCAUCAGCUCAUGGACACUUUGACUGUAAGAAAGAUAUGAAAUUAGAUAUGUUUUUAGAUAGAGAUAUCUUAUUCUUAUAUAGACACAACUUACAGUGUUUUUAAAGCAUAUUCCAUAGUUUUUAUCCCCUCCGUUAAUGCUGUAACUGUGUCAAGUGCCAUAAUAGCAUUCUGAAUGUUUAUGAGCUGCGCGUUAAGGUUAUCAAUCUGUUUUACCAAUUCAUCUUGUUGAACUGUAAACCUAGCUUUGAGCCUUAAAGCAAGUAGCGCAAUUGUCUUAUUCUUGCGUUUAGCGGCGGCAAGAGCUUUCUCCUGAUGGGCUGCUAUUUUGUUUUCGAUUUCUGUCAGCCUGAUAUUAUGUCUCGAUAUUGUACCCUCAAUUUUAGUCUUAGUUUUUUCCAAAGCUGCUGCUACUGGAUUUUU